rnacentral:lncRNA from 1 species
AGGCGGGUGGGUCGAGAGGCUCGGCCGGGCGGGAGGCGCGGUCGCCUCCUCUCCAGCUGCGCGCUCCAGCGGUGCCCAAGGCGCGGGCGCUCGGACUGGCUAGAUGGCCGGAGAGCGAACCCGCAGGUUCACGCGCAGCCUACUGAGACCCGGCGGGGCGGCCGAGCUGAGGCACAGCGCUGCUUCGGCCGCCGCCGCGGCUGUCAGCAGCCGGCAGCACCAGCAGCGGAUAAAGAAUGUGAAACUGAAAGCUAUAAGAAUUUAAGAAGUCAAGGUGCACCAGAUGCUCCGAGGUCUGCUGUGGUAGAGAAUACAUAGACCACAAGUAGACCAGUCCUUGCUUUCAAGCACUACAGCUACUAAGAGUCAAAUCUGAUUUCAAAUCCAUGUUUUCUUAACUCAGAGUCUAAAACUCUUAACAAAAGAUUAAAUAUGAUGUCAUUUUUAAUUUCCAGUGUCAUUCUAGUAUAUGUACAAAUUUCUGACCUCUGCUGUGAUGUUAUUCAA